UUAUUAUAGGUUUGUCCGAUUUGCAAUAAUCACAAGGAGGGAGCAUCAAGUUUGCGGCGCUCGACUCGAGUUGAGUGAAGAAGAUCGAUACGCACCGAACUUUUGGUCGAGCACCUUGACGAAUGGCGCGAGGCAGUUGGUGGUGCAGGAGGCGUUGCUGAUGAUGGGCUCGUCGGGGUUGUACUGGUCGGCAUUGACGCCGACGACGUAGGUGGGGAUGUCGCCCUUGCCGGGCGCCGUGAUGAGCACCUUCUUGGCCCCCGCCUGGAUGUGCUUCCCCGCGCCCUCGCGGUCGACGAAGACGCCGGUGCCCUCGAUGACGAGGUCGAUGCCGAGCUCGCCCCACGGCAGGUUGCUGGG
rnacentral:lncRNA from 1 species